rnacentral:rRNA from 1 species
UACGUAGGGUCCAAGCGUUGUCCGGAUUUAUUGGGCGUAAAGAGCUCGUAGGCGGCUCAGUAAGUCGGAUGUGAAAACUCGGGGCUCAACCCCGAGACGCCAUCCGAUACUGCUGUGGCUUGAGUCUGGUAGGGGAGCACGGAAUUCCUGGUGUAGCGGUGAAAAUGCGCAGAUAUCAGGAGGAACACCGGUGGCGAAGGCGGUGCUCUGGGCCAGUACUGACGCUGAGGAGCGAAAGCGUGGGUAGCAAACAGG